GAUGAACGCUGGCGGCGUGCUUAACACAUGCAAGUCGAACGGAAAGGCGCGGCUUUUGUGGGUUUCUCGAUUGGCGAACGGGUGAGUAACACGUGUGUAACCUCUCCUUGUCUUUGUGGUAACUUUAGGAAACUGCGGCUAAUACCCGAUAUGAUCUCCUGCUGCGUGUGGUUGGUUGGAAAGUUUCGGCGGUUGGGGAUGGACUCGCGGCUUAUGAGCUUGUUGGUGGGGUAGUGGCUUACCAAGGCUUUGACGGGUAGCCGGCCUGAGAGGGUGACCGGCCACAUUGGGACUGAGAUACGGCCCAGACUCCUACGGGAGGCAGCAGUGGGGAAUAUUGCACAAUGGGCGGAAGCCUGAUGCAGCAACGCCGCGUGCGGGAUGACGGCCUUCGGGUUGUAAACCGCUUUCGCCUGUGACGAAGCGUGAGUGACGGUAAUGGGUAAAGAAGCACCGGCUAACUACGUG
rnacentral:rRNA from 1 species